rnacentral:rRNA from 1 species
CUUGCAGGGUACUCGAGUGGCGAACGGGUGAGUAACACGUGGGUGACCUGCCCUGCACUUCGGGAUAAGCUUGGGAAACUGGGUCUAAUACCGGAUAGGAGCCAUCUUUAGUGUGGUGGUUGGAAAGUUUUUCGGUGUAGGAUGAGCUCGCGGCCUAUCAGCUUGUUGGUGGGGUAAUGGCCUACCAAGGCGGCGACGGGUAGCCGGACUGAGAGGUUGGUCGGCUACAUUGGGACUGAGAUACGGCCCAG